UUAACCUUUGCUCACAAGUGCAUAUACGCAUUCCACUAUAAGUAUACAUAAACAGCCGGCGCUGCUGUUUUACAAGUACAAAUAAAGCAGCUGCCUAAAUACUUAAACAGCAUGUCCAACUCUAAGUUUCAAUUGCAUUCCUUUUUUCUUUUUUCUAGCUUUUCUAUCAAUGGAAUUUCGUUAUGUUCCAAUCUUCGCUAUGGCGCUUGUUCUUGCUGUUGGAGCAACGAGACAUGUUGCUCUACCAGCAGAGAUGUACUGGACGUCUGUGUUUCCAAACACUCCAAUGCCCAAAGCCUUGCAAAAUCUUUUAAUCCCCCCUGCUGCUGCUGGUUUGUUUGCAAUUUUCUUUUCUUUUCCCCAAUGAUUGAGUAGACAUAUAUAAUUCAGCUUAUAGGAUAUAUGAAAACGCAGCAGGCAAUUCAAAGCAAGAGUUUGGAGAUGGAAAUAUGGCAACCAAUAAGGACGUUUUCUUUUUUGAGAGUAAGCUUCGACCUGGUACUAAGAUGAACUUAAAGGUGCUAACCAGUAAAGCCAGCAAAACUGCUUUCUUACCGCGUCCAGUUGCGGACUCAAUUCCCUUUUCAACUAAAAAGUUUGCGCAAGUCUUGAAAUAUUUCUCGGUGCAACCAAGAUCUGCAGAAUCCAAAAUACUCAAAAAAACAAUCGAGGAUUGUGAAACACCAACCAUUGAAGGAGAAGAGAAGUUUUGCGCUACAUCAUUGGAGUCUUUCGUGGAUUUCGGUGUUUCUAAGCUGGGGAAAGACAUCCAGCUUUUGUCAGCUGAGUUGGAGAAAGAAACGCAAAACCCAGAGUUUAGUAUUGGUGAUCAGGGGGUGAAAUUGAUGGGAAAAUCGGAGAUUGUUUGCCACAAAAUGGAUUAUGCAUAUGCUGUGUCUUCUGCCACUCAAUUGCUAAAACAGACGUGUAUAGGGUUCCAUUAGUUGGGGCAGAUGGUACAAGGGCUACAAUAUUGGCUAUUUGUCACGAAGAUAGUUCAGCUUGGAGUGUAACACCUCCAACUCGUAUCCCUUGUCAGAAUCGGGUUACGGAACAUUAGCGGAGUUUACAGAUUAAACAAAUAGAAAUUUCAAAUUUUCAUGUUAUCAAAACAAGUCAUCAAAGCAUCAUUUUAAUCCAAAUUAUAAACAUACCAAAUUCAAAUCAAAUUGCCUAA